rnacentral:misc_RNA from 1 species
CGUAUGUAUAUUUAAAAAAAAAAAAAGAUGUCACUUCUACUUCUUGCUCUUGCUCUUUUGCUCUUCUUGCUCAAGCAUCUCUUCCAGCAGCCUAUCAUCCAGGUACUCCAACUCGAUAACUUCGUUUUGCAUUGACGGUAAAGAGGCAGAAGAAGAAGGAGCAACAGAAGUUGUGGAACUAGAACCAGCACCACUUGUAAGUGGGUACUCAUUAGGAAAAUUAAGAAUGGCUAAGUGCCCUCUCAUUGCAUAAGCUGCUCGAUCGUAAGCUCUUGCAGCUUCCUCCGCCGUGUUAAAAGUCCCCAACCAUAUCCGUGCUCCCUGGCGAGUGGAGUCGCGUAUCUCCGCGGCGAAUUUCCCCCAAGGCCGCCUUCGAACGCCUCUGUACUUCACUUCUGCUCCUUUAGCUCCUUCUUCCUUCGCUUUGGUCUUGUCCUCGUCCAUGUGUGCG